ensembl:snRNA U6 U6 spliceosomal RNA
GUGCUUGCUUCAGCAGCACAUAUACUAAAAUUGGAAUGAUACAGAGAAGAUAAGCAUGGCCCCCAUGCACAAGGAUGACACGCAAAUUCAUGAAGCGUUCCAUUGCUUA